rnacentral:rRNA from 1 species
GAUGAACGCUGGCGGCGUGCCUAACACAUGCAAGUCGAGCGAGAAGUAAAGAAAUGAAGCUUCGGUAGAUUUUCAUUAUGGAAAGCGGCGGACGGGUGAGUAACGCGUAGGCAACCUGCCCUGUACAGGGGGAUAGCCACCCGAAAAGGUGAUUAAUACCCCAUGAUGCAAGAGAUACACAUGUAUCACUUGUCAAAGAUUUAUCGGUAUGGGAUGGGCCUGCGUCUGAUUAGCUAGUUGGUAGGGUAACGGCUUACCAAGGCAACGAUCAGUAGCCGACCUGAGAGGGUGAUCGGCCACAUUGGAACUGAGACACGGUCCAAACUCCUACGGGAGGCAGCAGUGGGGAAUAUUGCACAAUGGGGGAAACCCUGAUGCAGCAACGCCGCGUGAAGGAAGAAGGCCUUCGGGUUGUAAACUUCUGUCCUAGGGGAAGAAACAAAUGACAUUACCCUUGGAGGAAGCCCCGGCUAACUACGUGCCAGCAGCCGCGGUAAUACGUAGGGGGCGAGCGUUAUCCGGAAUUAUUGGGCGUAAAGAGUGCGUAGGUGGCAUCUUAAGCGCAGGGUUUAAGGCAAUGGCUCAACCAUUGUUCGCCUUGCGAACUGGGGUGCUUGAGUGCAGGAGGGGAAAGUGGAAUUCCUAGUGUAGCGGUGAAAUGCGUAGAUAUUAGGAGGAACACCAGUGGCGAAGGCGACUUUCUGGACUGUUACUGACACUGAGGCGCGAAAGCGUGGGGAGCAAACAGGAUUAGAUACCCUGGUAGUCCACGCCGUAAACGAUGAGCACUAGGUGUCGGGGUCGCAAGACUUCGGUGCCGCAGUUAACGCAUUAAGUGCUCCGCCUGGGGAGUACGCACGCAAGUGUAAAACUCAAAGGAAUUGACGGGGACCCGCACAAGCAGCGGAGCAUGUGGUUUAAUUCGAAGCAACGCGAAGGACCUUACCAGGACUUGACAUCCUCUUGACAGAUCCUUAAUCGGAUUCUUCUUC